rnacentral:rRNA from 1 species
AGAAUCAACGCUGGCGGCGUGCCUAACACGUGCAAGUCGCACGAGAAAGGGGAGCAAUCCCUGAGUACAGUGGCGCACGGGUGAGUAACACGUGAAUCAUCUACCUCCGAGUGGGGAAUAACUGAGAGAAAUCUUAGCUAAUACCGCAUAAUACCCACGGGUCAAAGCAGCAAUGCGCUUGGAGAGGAGUUCGCGGCAGAUUAGUUAGUUGGCGGGGUAAUGGCCCACCAAGACGAUGAUCUGUAUCCGGCCUGAGAGGGCGCACGGACACACUGGAACUGAAACACGGUCCAGACUCCUACGGGAGGCAGCAGUGGGGAAUUUUGCGCAAUGGGGGAAACCCUGACGCAGCAACGCCGCGUGGAGGAUGAAGCCCCGUUGGGGUGUAAACUCCUUUCGAUCGGGAAGAUAAUGACGGUACCGAUAUAAGAAGCCCCGGCUAACUUCGCGCCAGCAGCCGC